rnacentral:lncRNA from 1 species
UUAGGGAAGAGGAAGAACACGCGCUUCCUCCAGUCACACCGGACGUUGGGAGGGACGGAGUCAGCGCCUCCGACUUGCUGUCAUCUAACGGACUGGGAGGAUGGUCCUGCUGGAAACAGAUGGUUUCCGCCUGUGUAUCUGCAGUCCGGCCACCUGGGAGUUCUGCAGACUCCUAGGCACUGGAAGAUACCGUCUCACACCACCUCCUUGUUGACUGGGACUCUGCUGCCUGUUUAUCUGGACUGCGGCAGCACGGGAAGAAAGGAAUGUGAAAAUGUGGAAAUGACUUCUUGUGUGUCAGAGGCUGUGAACUUGAGAGUCAUUUUGUGAAUUUUGAUCUCCAGGUUACUUCCGCAUUUUUUUUCUGUCUGUCUCCCAGUGACAGAAUUAUUUGUAGGCAGAUCCCCCGCUCCAUCUCCAUGCUGUAUCUCUCUCUUGCCAUAUAAAGUGAAUUGUUCAUUUCCACAGCAAAUUGUUAAUUUUGUAAACAGGAUGCCUCCUCUUUAAGAAUUGCUUUUUAGUUAUUACUGUUAUUUCUUAUAUUCUGGGUAAUAAAUAAUGCUCACAUUUAAGUGAUUCACAGUUCAAAGCACUUAGGACCAGUAAGAUAAGUGAACAAAAGUCAUUUCCUUCCACUAGAGUAUAAAAUAAUAGAUUCAACUGUGUGACUCUGGAUAGUCAUUGCAGUGAUCUCUCCAAGUUCAUAGUUUGCCCUUUGCAACAGGUACAGUCAAUGUCAGGUGUGUAGUUGGAUGUGUAGUUUUAUUUAGUGUUGUAAAGUUACGUAGUAGCAUAAUUCAUAUCACCAAGAUAACCUCACAUUAUCCUUGGUAUUUAUUGGCAGGUACAUAGAGCACGAGAAAAGGGCAGAUGGGGCUUUCAUGUAUUUCUUGGAUUCAAGGUCAUGACAUUUCACUUGUUUGUUGGCAGUUUUUCAAGUAUUCAAGUAUUUCUUCUGGAUACUGACUGUAUAUUAUGAAAACUAAAGGCCUCUAUCUUUUAUAUGUGGUAAAAAGAUUAUGUAACGGAGUUGAAUCCAUAUCUGAGCAGAUGGGCCAAUUGCAGGGUCAUUAUGUGAUUCCGCUGGUGUGCUAUUUCUGAAGUGUGAAAUAUUCAUUCUGUUCAGAUGGCUAGGAGAAACUGCCUCCCCCAAGGAAGUGUCUCAUGCGGCACUGUCCAACAGAAAUGGAAUCUGAGCCACAAUUGAAGUUAAAAUAAACAGGUGCAAUUAACUUUAGUAUGAUGUUUUAUUUAACCCAGUGUAUCCAAAAUACUAUCAUUUCAGCCUGAAGUAAAAAAAUGAGUAUUGAUAUAUUUUUCUUCCUUUUCUAACCAAGUCGUGAAACCCACUGUGUAUUUAUACUUCCAGCACAUCUCAGUUCGGACUCACUGCUUUCCUGGUAUGGAGCAGACACCCAAGGUCGGUAGUUGCCAAAUUGGGCAGUGCCAGUUGAUAGCCUCAUAAAGGGAAGAUCUUACUGGUUUGGUUGCAGCUUUGGUUGCAGAUAAGAGGGAGAGCAUGUGAUAUGUGCAUUCAUUUGCCAUAACUAAAUGCCAGUUCUUGAAAAGGAAAAUGUUGACAGGAAAUUCUAGAAAACGUAUUUCUGGUAUUUCUUUACACAGGUUGAAUGCUGUUCUGUAGCAGAGUUGACUUUAUUUCCAUG